AAAAUUGUCAACCACUCCUUCCUUAGGGGGUAAAAGCAACAUUCAGCACCGGGGGCAGGUCAAGGCAAGGUGGCCAGGGAGCCGCAGGCAAGGGACUAAGGGGAGGGGGGCUCAGUGCCAGCUGCUUAAAAAUGCCCCUGUGGCAGCGAGGGGCACCAGAGGCUGGGUCUAAUUAGUUGAGAAGCAGUGACACCCCCAACCACUCCCCAAACAGGCUGGCUCCCGUCUCCAGGCCCCAAGGAGCCACACCUGGACCAGACCCCAGGAAAGGCAAAGAUGGAGACUAUGGUACACUCUUCACAGCCAAGGGCAGGGGACAGAGGAGAGGCGGUGCCCAGGCAGGAUGCAACUAUCUCCAAGAGAUAGUUAGAGGAUGGCAGCCUAUCUUGAGUUCUGGCUGCUCUGCCCAGGAGGUCCCUUUGAAUGGCCAGAGAUGGUCUCCAAUGCUGUUGGCCUCCUGCAGAAGAAAGAGCCCAAGGCUGGGAAUGGAAACCCUUGGUUCUAUUCCUGGCUGUGCCCUAACUCUUCAUAUGACCUUCAACGCGACCUUGAACAUGCAGCUUCCUCUGGCCUCAGUGUGUCCAGCGAGAGGCUAGACCCGGCCAGGCCUGGUGGCUCACUCCUAUAAUCCCAGCACUUUGGGAGGCCAAGGCAGGCGGAUCAUGAGGCAUGUGGUGGAAACCCUACGGCCCUGGAGCCCAAGGAGAGCAACGGCUGUAACAAGUGCACAGGUUUGAGUGCGCUGAGACAGGGGAACCGUGGGCAAAGAGGUCCCUCCAGAAAGAGCUGGGUGUGAGCAUGGGUUCGUGAGCUUGCCUGGAGCCCUGGCCUCAGCCCUCUCUCACUGAGGUGCCAUCUGGCUCGCAGAUGUGGCCCAUUCCCAGCCCCUCGUGUUUCUUGGAAAUGAGAAAGUCCAGGAAAGGGCACAGGGGCUUUCGCAACGACCGUGGCGAUGAUAGCUUUGACGUGUGGUCAUCCAGCCGGCCACUGCCCACACCCAAGAGAAAGCUGGAUUGAGCAUCAGGAGCCUGGGUUCAAGUCUGCCUCUCAAGCUGUUCCACAGGUGACCCUGGGCAAAUCGCACAGGCUCCUGGAACUUCAGAAAGGGGAAGAAUUAUUCCUGCCCAAGGGCGCUAGCUGGUGGGAGCCACCCCGCCAUGCUGAUGUCAGAGAAGCAAGAACUCUGGAGAAGCAGCCUCCUGGGACCAGAGGAGGGCCAGCAGCAGGCAGCCCGGAGACAGAACUGUGAGCCCACCCCACCUCCACCCUUCCGGCACCCACAUCCGCUCCCCACCCCAGCCCACCUGCAGGUGGCUCCUGGAGUAUCCUGGGUCCCUCAGGAUAAACUCCCCACCCUAACCUCAGAAUGACCAAGAAACUGGGCCUGAGGAUGACAAGAAGCAGAAUGGGCCUUGGUAAAGGAAGACCCCCCACUGAUUGGUGGCAGUGCGGGCAGUUCAGGGCUGUCAGCGUCUGGGUUGUAGGUAAAAAGAAAUGGAACCCAAGAAGGGAAAUCCAACUAGGAGCCAAGAAUCCGGUCUACCCCAUCCUCCUUACGAAAUAGCAAUGCAAAGCCCGUGUGAUUUAUGUGUCUGGGGGUGAGAGGACGGGUGUGACUGCUGAAACUUCCUUUCUUGGUGAUUCCACAUCACUCCUUUCUGAUCCCUGAGCCUGUGCCACGCCCUGUGUGAUGUGCCGGGGACACCAGGGUCACCCACGCCUCUCCAAGCCUCCCAACAGAAGACAGAGGUCCCCCACAGCCAGAGACAUUUCCUGAAGACAUGGGGAACACAGAGGCAGAAACAGCCCAUCCACCCAGGAGCUGUCCCCCACACUGCCGGGAGCCGGCACCCAGAGCCGCCAGGUAAAACUGAGGCCACCUGGUUCAACAUCACCUUUCACAGAAGGGGAAGCAGCCACAGAAAGAAGGGCCUCGUUAAGAAGUGGAACCUGGGACCCCCAAGCGGUGUCUCUCAUCCUGACUGGGGAUCCAGAGUAGGAGGGAGCCUUUGGUGGGGUAAGUGGAAUGGGGCGGGGUGGGGGGUGGCCAUAGACCCCUCUUCUCAGUAAGGCCCUCAUGUGAAGGAGGCAGGGGUUGGGACAAGUGCUAAGUAUGCAAGACUCAAGGGAAGAGCUGCUGGAGCCAGGAGAAGCACCUCCCUCCCGGCCCCUCUGCCCCUCCUCAUAGCCCAGCUGCACUGACUCCUCCUCCAGGAAGCCUUCUCAGCUUCCCCAGGGGUGGGAACCUUUUUGUCCUCCAGGUGUGCUUGGCUGUCCUUUCUUGGGCUCUCUCUCUCUCUCUCUCCUCAUCCCACUUGAGUCUGCCCCCUAUUCACCUUGUGAGGGGAAUUUUCCUUCUACUCAAUCUGACCGAGGUCCUCCAGGUCAAGGACAGCGAGGCUCUCAGUCCCACUUCCCCUUGGCACAUAGAAGAGGCAGUGCGCUGAAGGGACAGGUGAAAUGAUUAGACCCUGCCCCCAAACCAAGGCCUGGCCAAUUGGACAGGGCAUGAGACAUUCAGCGUAGAGGUUAAAACGAGGGCCCUGGGUUAGGAACCCCAGCUCAGUUCUCAGCUCUGUACCCUUGGAAAAUUCCCUUCCCAUGGAGCUUUGUGGAUGCACAAGGACUUGCACAAAGAAAACAUUCAAUAUCCAGGACUAUAAAAUUCCACAAAUGAUUGUGCUUAUUACAUUCAUUAUCACGAUGAUUAUUCCAGACACAAAGGAACAGAACGAGGCACCAACAGCAAGGGGCAAGCAGAUUCAAGGGCCACAGAGGAGAUGGAGGCAAACACCUUCCCCUGGUCAGAGGCUGUGCCUCAGCCCUUCUCCCUGCAUCAGUUUCUCCUUCAGAAGCAUGGGACUACCUCCCAUCUAGUUCUCGUUUCUAAACCUAGGGGAGAUGCUAUCUUUGCUGCAAUAAUCUUAGCCUACAUCUUGGAAUGGAAAUGGCCUUGGUGGAAAUGGUCUUCAACUCCUCUGGUCCAAGCUCAGGCCCUGUGACCCUGGAACAAUCCCCUUCCUGGUCCUCCAUGUAGGAGCAAUAACAUUCCCUUGCCAGCAGCACCAGCCAUUCUGAUGAUUAAAUGGUAUCGGACUCUGUUUUCCAAACUCAGUCAUUCAGAUGCCCCCUAUUUUAUUUCUUCCAUGUCUGCAAAUGAUUAUAAUAUUUUUAAAUGUAGGAUGAGUCCUUUUUAUUACACAUAGAAAUAGCUACUGUAAAUAGCAAACUCUAACACUGUGCCUAAUUAGGAAAUAAAGGUAACCAUAAAUACAGUAAAAAUGAAACAAUGUUAUUAUGGUUUAACCUGAUAGUGUGGCUUGCAAGGCCCUGGGCCUGAAGCCUGGGCAAUAAGUGAGAGUUAGAAAGGUGUCAAAGACAUGAUAGCAGCAAACUGAGGCUUUGUACCCCACGGUAAAUAGGACUGAAAGCAAAUUCACAGGGAGCAACUGAUCCAUUCCACAACAGAAUGCUCCCUGUCAAUUCGCUUUCCAUUCUGUUGUGUCCUGUCUCCCAGCAGAGACUACAAACUCCCCAAAACCACUUACCCACCAGCUGCACGUGAGAAGCCAAAGGUAGUUUAUGUGAAAGGGCUUUGGAAAUAAUCACGCACCAAGUGAAGGCAGAGGACACACCUUGUCAGCUUAGUUCUCAGCAGCAAAUCAUCUCUUUUCCAGGAUAACCCUCCCUGAUUCUUAUUGAAAUCUCUUUGCUGACCACACUAAGCUCUUCUCUCUCAGGGGCAGUGGGAGCCGUGGAGAGUGGAAUAGACCAGCUGUCUGUGACCUGCGAGGGAGUCCAAUGUCGGAAUCACUCCCCAGCCAAAUGCACGGUUUUAAAAAAUCUAUUUAUUUAUUUAUGUAGAGACCAGGCUAUGAGACUGGCUAAUUUUUCGUAUUUUUGGAUAGAGACAGGAUUUCAUCGUGUUGCCCAGGCUGGUCUUGAACUCCUGGGCUCAAGCGAUCCACCUGCCUCGGCUUCCCAAAGUGCUCAGGAUUACAGGCGUGAGCCACUG
rnacentral:lncRNA from 1 species